GUGCCAGCAGUCGCGGUUAUACCAAUAGGGCAAGUAAUACACUAUUAAUGGUAGAAAGGACUCGUAGAUGGUCCCUCUUCGGGGGGACUAGAAUAAAUUAUAUUAUGUUUAUAUAAUACUAUAAGUAAAGGUUAAAUUUAAUAAUAUAUAGUAGAAUAUUAAUAUAUGAAAAUAAUAAACAAUUAAUUUAUUGACAUUAAGGAGUGUAGUCUAGGAUUAUUAAGUAGGAGUAGUCAACCUAUUAAACCUAAGAUGUUAACUAUGUAUACUAAUAUUAUAUUAUUAUUUAUGAUAUAAUUAUAAUAUUAACUGACUAGUAUAGUAUACCACCAGGGAAGUAUAAAUUAAUAUUUUAGAAACUCAAGACAUUAGGCGGUUUAGGCUAAUAACAGUGGAUUAUGUUAUUUAAU
rnacentral:rRNA from 1 species